UACGUAGGUGGCGAGCGUUGUCCGGAUUUACUGGGCGUAAAGGGAGCGUAGGCGGACUUUUAAGUGAGAUGUGAAAUACCCGGGCUCAACUUGGGUGCUGCAUUUCAAACUGGAAGUCUAGAGUCCAGGAGAGGAGAAUGGAAUUCCUAGUGUAGCGGUGAAAUGCGUAGAGAUUAGGAAGAACACCAGUGGCGAAGGCGAUUCUCUGGACUGUAACUGACGCUGAGGCUCGAAAGCGUGGGGAGCAAACAGGAUUAGAUACCCUGGUA
rnacentral:rRNA from 1 species